rnacentral:rRNA from 1 species
GACGAACGCUGGCGGCGUGCUUAACACAUGCAAGUCGAACGGCAAGGCACUGCUUUCGUGGUGUGCUCGAGUGGCGAAGGGGUGAGUAAGACGUGUGUAUCGUGCCCUUGAUUUUGGGAUAACUUCAGGAAACUGGGGCUAAUACCGGAUAGGAGACCCUGCUGGAUGGUGGGGGUUGGAACGUUUAGGCGGUUGGGGAUGGAUUCGCGGCUUAUGGGCUUGUUGGUGGGGUAGUGGUUUACCCAGGCAUUGACUGGUAGCCGGCCUGAGAGGGUGACCGGCGACAUGGCGACUGCGGGACGGCGCAGUCGCGUAUGGUAGGCAGCAGGGGGGAAUAUGGCACAACGAGCGGAAGUCUGAUGAGAAGGCCUCGGGGUUGUAAAGACGGUCUGCGGGGUGAAAAACGCAGUCGCCUAAUACGAAGCGGUAGUGACGGUAAUGGGUGAAGAAGCACCGGCUAACUACGUG